rnacentral:lncRNA from 1 species
CCCAAUCUGCUCAAUCCACUUUAUUCCACUACCAAAUUAUUUGUUUUUAAGGUCAAAGUUUGGUUUUCCCAAAAGCAGUGAUUCUAUCAAUCUUACACUUACCCAUACACAGACAUAUACUACCAGAAUAGGACUCCUGACAAAUAUUCCUACAUGAAUCCUUUGCUUAGAAUCCAUUACACACACGGAAAAUCACCAUGAUCGACUUGUUGGAAGACGUACAACUUAUUUCAUGAUGUACGACAAGAAAAUGGAGUUGGAGGGCUAGAUCACAGAACAUAAAACAUGUUUGACAAAAUGGAAUAGAGAUAUAGAUGAACUUAGUUAUGCUCUAUGUACCUGUUCUUUUUUAAUCUUAGUGAUAUCUAGGUUAGCUUGUGCACACCUCGACUAUUCCAUCAGGUACCUACUACCCCCACCAGGACAGGUAUUGGAUAACUAACCCAUCAAGGCUUAGGAAGAUGAAAAGAAAUCACCUAGUGUUUUUUUGCUUCCACUGGAAUUUCAACCUGAAACCUCAUGAUUCUCCCACCACUUCAUUGGUCGCUAGUCACACCCUUGGGUAAUUAUCUACUUGUUCUUGUUCUACUAUUAAUCGGAAACAACCUUUCUACUUCUCCUGAAGUAGUGGUAUGGACUGCGUACAUCUUAACCCCCAGACCCCACC